UAGGGAAUCUUCCGCAAUGGGCGAAAGCCUGACGGAGCAACGCCGCGUGAGUGAUGAAGGUCUUCGGAUCGUAAAACUCUGUUAUUAGGGAAGAACAAAUGUGUAAGUAACUAUGCACGUCUUGACGGUACCUAAUCAGAAAGCCACGGCUAACUACGUGCCAGCAGCCGCGGUAAUACGUAGGUGGCAAGCGUUCUCCGGAAUUAUUGGGCGUAAAGCGCACGUAGGCGGACUAUUAAGUCAGGGGUGAAAUCCCGGGGCUCAACCCCGGAACUGCCGUUGAUACUGGGAGUCUUGAGUUCGAGAGAGGUGAGUGGAAGUCCGAGUGUAGAGGUGAAAUUCGUAGAUAUUCGGAGGAACACCAGUGGCGAUGGCGGCUCACUGGCUCGGUACUGACGCUGAGGUGCGAAAGCGUGGGGAGCAAACAGG
rnacentral:rRNA from 1 species